AUAUUCUAGCAAGCCAAGUAAAUCUAAUUUUUAAGAAUUAUUCAAUAAAGGUACAGCUUUAUUGAAAAAGGAAACAACCUAAACCUUAGGAUAAUGAAUAUUUUUAAAUAGGUAAAAGGCCAAGUUGGCCUAAAAGCAGCCAUCUUUAAAGAUAGCGUCAAAGCUUCACCUUAAACACACCUUAAAUCUCAUUAUUUUUUUCAUAAUCCAACAAUUCUACUAAGCCAUUCUAUACUUUUAUAGAAAAGUUUAUGUUAGGACUAGUAACACAGAAUAAUUUCUCUUACAUGUAAGUUUAAAUCAACCCGAAUACCUCCUUGAUAAUUACUCAAAUUUGAACCUUAAGUAGUACCUAUCAAUUACAAAAACCCUACUUAACUUAUUGUUAAUCAAACAUAUGGAUAUGAAAGAAAGAUUAAAAAAUUAAGAAGGAACUCGGCAAACACAAGUCCCGCCUGUUUACCAAAAACAUCGCCUUUUGAAAAGUAUAAAAGGUAACGCCUGCCCACUGACAAUAUGUUUAACGGCCGCGGUAUUCUGACCGUGCGAAGGUAGCGUAAUCACUUGUCUUUUAAAUGAAGACUCGUAUGAAAGGCAUCACGAGAACUUAGCUGUCUCCUUAAUUCAAUCAGUGAAACUGAUAUCCCUGUAAAAAAGCAGGGAUGAUAACAUAAGACGAGAAGACCCUGUGGAGCUUAAAACAUAAACUACUUCUAUACUCUACUAACUUAUAGUACUAAAAUACAAACCUAGCCUAAGUUUUCUGUUGGGGCGGCUGUGGAGAAAAACUUAUCCUCCAUGAAGAAAAAACUUUGAUCUACCGCUCUUAGUAUUAGCAAGCCUAACUUAAAUUGAUCCAAUUUUUGAUCAACGGACCAAGUUACCCCAGGGAUAACAGCGCAAUCCAUUUCAAGAGUCCCUAUCGACAAAUGGGUUUACGACCUCGAUGUUGGAUUAGGACAUCCUAGUGGUGUAGCCGCUACUAAUGU
rnacentral:rRNA from 1 species